GCUUGCAUUAAACGUAUAAACUGUUAAAUUAGAUGGCGACUCUGCAUUAAACGUAUUUAUUUAAUUAAUCGGCGAUCAUAUUUCACCAGAGGACUAAGAUAAAACAACUCGAUUUAAAAUAUGAGCAGUUUUAGUGGAUCUGACGUUGAGGGAAAAAGUAUUUCGCUUUUUGUUUGGAGAUGAACGAGACAACACGAGGCACAGCGACAUAAAUAUGACCAACCAGAUCCCAAGUAGACAGGAACAAAUGAAGAUAUAGCGCAUAGAAAGACUUAUUCUUGGUGAUCAACUGCUACUGACAUUUUUGAAUCGGGGCAAAUGUGGAGUGAAGAAAAACGUUUGCAACACAUCCAUUCCAGAGUGCUCUGACAGAUAAAACUGACACGCUUGAUGAGGACACAGUCAAGCUUUAAAAGCCCGUGUGAUAAAGCAGUCUUCAAUUAAUACGGUGUCUGAAUUGCAAGAAGAAGUCACCCUCCACUUAAACAUGUGACAUCUAAACUGUUUUGUGUUUUAGUUCAGCUUUUUAUAGGUUUAUCUUAAGUUGGUUAAAGGCAGAGUGCACUAUUUUUGAAAGCCAAUGUUAACAUUUGAAAUUACCUAAACAAACAUGCCUCUACCCCAAUAGAAUCGGGACCUUCUUUUGAUAGAGCCACCACACACAUACGCAACCCCGGCAAGGAUGUCGGUUAGUAGACACGCCCCUUACUGCUGGUUGGCUACAAGUGUGUUUUGGUAGUCGGCCCAAUUUCCUUUUCCAAAGCGUUUUUCAAACAUUGUGCACUCCGUCUUUAAAUUGCACUUAAACAUUUUUUUUUCAUUAACUUUUUAUGCAGAGAAUUACAUUAUG